GAUGAACGCUGGCGGCGUGCCUAAUACAUGCAAGUCGAGCGAACAGACGAGGAGCUUGCUCCUCUGACGUUAGCGGCGGACGGGUGAGUAACACGUGGAUAACCUACCUAUAAGACUGGGAUAACUUCGGGAAACCGGAGCUAAUACCGGAUAACAUGUUGAACCGCAUGGUUCAACAGUGAAAGACGGUCUUGCUGUCACUUAUAGAUGGAUCCGCGCCGCAUUAGCUAGUUGGUAAGGUAACGGCUUACCAAGGCAACGAUGCGUAGCCGACCUGAGAGGGUGAUCGGCCACACUGGAACUGAGACACGGUCCAGACUCCUACGGGAGGACGCAGUAGGGAAUCUUCCGCAAUGGGCGAAAGCCUGACGGAGCAACGCCGCGUGAGUGAAGAAGGUCUUCGGAUCGUAAAACGCUGUUAUUAGGGAAGAACAAAUGUGUAAGUAACUAUGCACGUCUUGACGGUACCUAAUCAGAAAGCCACGGCUAACUACGUG
rnacentral:rRNA from 1 species